AUUCCUUCUCGUGUAACAUGAUUAUUGUUUAAUAAAGGUUGCCGAAUUUCAGAAAAGAAGAAGACAAAAACACCCCACCCCACCCCUUCUUUUGGCGUUGGGAAAGGCGAACAAGGAACCCUAGCCCGAGGCCUGUCACGAUGACGGCGGUCCGAUGCGCAGCCAGGAGGCUCGGUGGCUCCCUGCUCCAGCAAACGCAGACGGCGGCCACCUCACCUGCGAUCGCGGAGGAGCGACGCCGGCUCGUGACACGGCUCAUGCACACCAACGAGCAUUCUGGUGAAGACGUUUUGCGCGAGAUCCAGCAGAAGAAAAAGGAGCUGUAUGAUGUGAUACUUAAGGCGGAGAAGAAUUUCAUGACUAGUAACUGGCGUAACAGAGGGCUACUCCGGCAUCUUUCUGUACAAAUCGAUCCAA